rnacentral:lncRNA from 1 species
AAUCAGGUGUGUCCACACUUUGAUCUUUAUCUUGGAGAUUCUUUUACAUUAUGAAUUCUAGAACAGUGGUAAGUGGUAGCUUCUACAAACAGAAAUUUACUGCCAAUGAAAUUAAAUGUGUGGCUACAACAUCAAACAACCAGAAUUUAAGAAUUAUUACAGAACAGAAUAAAGUGAGGGUCUGAAGAAUUAUCCAUAAAGCAUGAUCCUUUCUAGGAGAUUAGAAAGAAUCCUGAUUUCUUGCUUCUUAUCAACAAUGUAGAACUUUCUUCUGGUUCUUUCCUUGUACAAGGUAAGCAGUGUGAACCUUUGAAAGGUCAUUAUGAACCUCCAGUUAACCUUCCAGCAA